rnacentral:tRNA from 1 species
AAAAUCGUGAGGGUUCUAUCCCCAACUCUACUCCCCAA